rnacentral:rRNA from 1 species
GAUAGUGAACCAGUACCGUGAGGGAAAGGCGAAAAGAACCCCGGCGAGGGGAGUGAAAAAGAACCUGAAACCGUGUACGUACAAGCAGUGGGAGCACAGGUUUACCUGUGUGACUGCGUACCUUUUGUAUAAUGGGUCAGCGACUUAUAUUCUGUAGCAAGGUUAACCGAAUAGGGGAGCCGUAGGGAAACCGAGUCUUAACCGGGCGUUAAGUUGCAGGGUAUAGACCCGAAACCCGGUGAUCUAGCCAUGGGCAGGUUGAAGGUUGGGUAACACUAACUGGAGGACCGAACCGACUAAUGUUGAAAAAUUAGCGGAUGACCUGUGGCUGGGGGUGAAAGGCCAAUCAAACCGGGAGAUAGCUGGUUCUCCCCGAAAGCUAUUUAGGUAGCGCCUCGUGAAUUCAUCUCCGGGGGUAGAGCACUGUUUCGGCUAGGGGGCCAUCCCGGCUUACCAACCCGAUGCAAACUGCGAAUACCGGAGAAUGUUAUCACGGGAGACACACGGCGGGUGCUAACGUCCGUCGUGAAGAGGGAAACAACCCAGACCGCCAGCUAAGGUCCCAAAGUCAUGGUUAAGUGGGAAACGAUGUGGGAAGGCCCAGACAGCCAGGAUGUUGGCUUAGAAGCAGCCAUCAUUUAAAGAAAGCGUAAUAGCUCACUGGUCGAGUCGGCCUGCGCGGAAGAUGUAACGGGGCUAAACCAUG